UCACCUCAACCGGGAUUCGAACCAGCGCUUUUUUAUGUACGCACGCAUUUUCUUUCUCUCUUCUGAUUGGCUAGUCAGCGUUCUAUGGCUAUGAAAAUUCAAACUGCAACAAUCAGCGUGGGCACCGCCCUCAUUUCCCACGGUAUCGUGUCUAUAUAAAGCGGUGUACCGUCGCUCAUCUUCCUUUUUCUUUCAGCACUUGUGCUUAUCUGCUAGAAUUGAGAACGCUACAAAGUAAGAAGAAGAUGACUUCAGCACGGAUCUCCCAAGCCGGUGGCAGCGGCUCGGGCGAGGCCGCGGACAAACGGCCAUUUUCAGGGCCACCUGAGAGCGCUCCUGGAGCUAGGUCCUUUUCAGGACUCCUAUGCGUCUCCUGUGGGCACCGGGUGACGGGCACUUGGCGUGUUUUCGGCGCCGACCACGCCGCGGCUGCUAUGGCGGCCUCCAUCUCCUGUGUCGCCUGCCGGGAGCUGCCUGAAGAGGGGAUCCUCUCCAGGCAUCUCUUUUCCCCUGCGGUGGACCUGGCUGACGCCAUCGACCUGUUCAGGGCCGGCCCUGACGACAACGAUGGCAUCAUCGACGCCGACGACGACGCCUCCAUGGACGACGUCUUCGGCGUCCGGUUUUUCCCGCUCCCGGGUUUCAACCGCCACCGCCGUGCAACACGAGAGACCGCGCCGGAUGGCCGAUCUCUUCGGGGAGAUCAUGAUAGACAAUCAUUUCCGUGCUUGGAUACGUUUCGUCCAUGCAAAGAGAAGCAACUUCGCUGCCUCCUCUUUGACGAGACACACGGUGUUGUGUGAAAAACUCUUCACACCGGACAGCUACAACCAAGGAGAUCUGAUGGAAUUGCGCCUGGGAUUAUCGCAAAUGGAGCUGUGCCAUCUGUGCAUACAAGUCUACCAGUACCAGCAACAUCUGGGGAGUGAGUCUAGCACUAGCAGAGAAUCUGCGCGCCGAAAACGGGAGCUUUGUACAAUUUUGGGAGAGAGUGCUGCCAGCAAAGAUGGGGCGCGUGCAACUUCCACUUUAGAGCCUGAAGAUGAUGGAGAUAAUGGAGACACCUCUAAGAUAGACCCUGAGCCAGUAGUGGACCAUCGUGGAUCUCAGUGCAACAUACGAUGUUUCCAUCGUUCAUUAGCUGUUCAGGUAAAGCCUCAGAUGGUGGAUGUGGGGACUCAAACCGAAAGGUUUGAGAUACGAAGAUCGACUCCACUGGCCAGCCCUGAACAAAGAUCACCAGCAGCCACUAAACUGGAGAAUUGCUGCCAGGAAAGCACUGGUGAAAGAUGUUCGACAAUUGUCACCUCAGCAUCAGACAUUCUCCCCGGAGGCCUACCAUUCCCUCAUCCUGCACCUUGCUCCCAAACACACUGGUUUCUCUUUUCUUGGGUGGUACAGCAGGCUUCUCUUGGCGGCCCUACAUUUCAACAGUAAUGGCAACAGAGAUGUAGCUCGAACCAGUGAGGGUGAGGCACGCUACGCCGUUCGCUACCCGCGGUUUCGGAAAGGUGGCUGGGUAGUCCGCCCCAUCAAGGAGAAACCAUCUUAUGGAUACACAACAAAUCUUAUGGUCUCUCUGGCAGAGGAAUACUCUAGAUCACCCCAGGCCCUACAAGAAAGCAGUGCGGUCUUGUCUUCUGCUGCCCCGCCCCCCAUCACCACUUCCCUCCAGAAGGUUGCCAAGGAUGAGGCAGACAGCCUCCAUCUCGGACGACACUUGCGUUUUAACAUGGACUGCUGUGCUGCUUUGAAGUUCCUGGACACCAGAGCUCAGGAGUACCUGUCACAGGACUGCUGGAAGACCACAGAGGCUAUUAUCACAGAGGCCAUUUCUGGAAAUCUCGGAAACUAUGUUAUGAAACGAUAAGUCCUCAACUCUUUUCUGAAACCCAUCUGUCCCUUUCUGCCUCAAAAAAGUCAGACUGCUGGAACUCCAUCCAGGUCAACUCCUUGGCCAUGCCCUUGUCCUUGUAAAGGGACAACACUCUGGAGGGGCAGUAUAUGUAUUUCCCUCGGAUGUCAGGGAAACGGGCAUGGACAUGAGGGCUGCCAGGACCCUACUUCGGUGGCUGGUGACAAAAUCUGAACAGGCGACCUGUUGGACGCUGCAGUGCAGACUUUCUCUUUGUCCUCUGCCACCUUCUUCAGGGUA